AGUCCAUGGUAUGGGCAGCAUCGCAAUAGGUCCUUGUACCUCUCCCAGGUCUCGUACAUUGACUCAUCGUUAAACUACACAAAAAAAGAUAUAUUAUUUCUAAGUUU
rfam:Ricinus communis cultivar Hale ctg_1100012303244, whole genome shotgun sequence.